rnacentral:rRNA from 2 species
GGAGGAAAAGAACUAACAAGGAUUCCCCUAGUAACUGCGAGUGAAGCGGGAAAAGCUCAAAUUUAAAAUCUGAUAGUCUCUGGCUGUCCGAGUUGUAAUCUAGAGAAGUGUUGCCCGCGCUGGACCGUGUACAAGUCUCCUGGGAUGGAGCGUCAUAGAGGGUGAGAAUCCCGUCUCUGACACGGACUACCAGGGCUUUGUGGUACGCUCUCAAAGAGUCGAGUUGUUUGGGAAUGCAGCUCAAAAUGGGUGGUAAAUUCCAUCUAAAGCUAAAUAUUGGCGAGAGACCGAUAGCGAACAAGUACCGUGAGGGAAAGAUGAAAAGAACUUUGGAAAGAGAGUUAAACAGUACGUGAAAUUGCUGAAAGGGAAACGCUUGAAGUCAGUCACGUUGGCUGGGGAUCAGCCUCGCUCUUUUGCGUGGUGUAUUUCCUGGUUGACGGGUCAGCAUCAAUUUUGACCACUGGAAAAAGGCUUGAGGAAUGUGGCAGCUCCGGCUGUGUUAUAGCUUCUUGUCAUAUACAGUGGUUGGGAUUGAGGAACUCAGCACGCCGCAAGGCCGGGUUUCGACCACGUUCGUGCUUAGGAUGCUGGCAUAAUGGCUUUA